rnacentral:rRNA from 1 species
UACAGAGGUCUCAAGCGUUGUUCGGAUUCAUUGGGCGUAAAGGGUGCGUAGGUGGCGCUGUAAGUCGGGGGUGAAAUUUCGGAGCUUAACUCCGAAACUGCAUUCGAUACUGCGGUGCUUGAGGACUGGAGAGGAGACUGGAAUUCAUGGUGUAGCAGUGAAAUGCGUAGUGAUCAUGAGGAAGACCAGUGGCGAAGGCGGGUCUCUGGACAGUUCCUGACACUGAGGCACGAAGGCCAGGGGAGCAAACGGG